rnacentral:rRNA from 1 species
GAUGAACGCUGGCGGCGUGCUUAACACAUGCAAGUCGAACGAUUAAGACGGCUUCGGCCGUGUAUAGAGUGGCGAACGGGUGAGUAACACGUGACCAACCUGCCCCGCGCUCCGGGACAACCGCUGGAAACGGCGGCUAAUACCGGAUGCUCCGGGGAGGCCCCAUGGCCUCCCCGGGAAAGCCCUGACGGCGCGGGAUGGGGUCGCGGCCCAUUAGGUAGACGGCGGGGUAACGGCCCACCGUGCCCGCGAUGGGUAGCCGGACUGAGAGGUCGACCGGCCACAUUGGGACUGAGAUACGGCCCAGACCCCUACGGGAGGCAGCAGUGGGGAAUUUUGCGCAAUGGGGGGAACCCUGACGCAGCAACGCCGCGUGCGGGACGAAGGCCUUCGGGUUGUAAACCGCUUUCAGCAGGGAAGACAUAGACGGUAC